rnacentral:lncRNA from 1 species
GCGGAAGGCAGCAAAGGCAGACAUGCAAGGGAGCUGAUGUUCCAGGGAGCGGACACGAAGCAAGCAACACGAACCCGUGGUGUGAUGUGAUGCGGAGGCUCCCGCACUGCAUCCGUCUCUCACCUGACUCCAUCGUCAGACUGCAGAGGGGAGGCGAGGGCGUUCCUGGCUGGAUUUCAUGGCUUCACCUUCGGUACUGAAGAAAAGGCCAAGUUCUGGGAUUAUGCAUGCCACUGCUUGACUACUGUCUCCUUGGUUUCUUUGACAGACAUUUAUCCAGCACCUGCUGUGUACCAGGCUCUGUUCUAGGUGCUGAGUAUACAAGAAUGGAGAAGUUCACCUAAAAUGUUACCAUCUUCUCUACAAUAUCUUACCUCAACAACACACUCUUGUGCCUGGAUUGUUGCAAUUGCUUCCGAAUCAGUUUUUCUGUCUCCACUCUUAAUGUCAUUCAAGACUUUCUGCACCUGACAGCACAACAGUCCCUCCAAAGUGUCACUCAGCAGCUUAACCCCCCCACACUGCCCUCGGGAGCAGCCCCCCAGUGUCUCACAGGGCUGAGAUGAUGCCCUCCUUGACUUGAACCUUCAUGCUUCUCAGAGAAACGCCUUUCAACUUGGUGCUGUCAGACCCACGUAGACUCUGCUGAAGCACAGCCAGUUCCUCUCAAUUCUCGAAUGAGCCACCUUCCCUCUCACCUCCAAGUGGCGGCUCACGCUGUUGACUGCCUGCACGAUGUUCUCCCUGGCUCUGCAGUUAAUUGCCUGUGUAUCACUCCUGCACCAUGGAGAAGGCAAUCAGAAACAUCCUUCCUCCU